rnacentral:rRNA from 1 species
AUGCAUGGUGCAAUGGAAAAUUUCUUAAUGUUUUAUGGUGACAUACGCGACGGCCCUUGUGGGCUUGAUGUCUCAAGGUGCACAAGCAAGAGAGUUUUUGUGAAAGACAUGGUCAAAAGAGGGUUCAUGGACGUUAAAAGGUGCAUCCAAGCCGAGUUUGGUCCUGAGACGGUUGGAAAGAAUAUGGUUGUCAAAGCUUUCGUCGUCGUAGGUAGGGUUGAUGGGACACCUGCCCGUUGGGGCUUGAGGCGGGUGAACGGCGACCUAUCUUGGGGUAGUUACAUGAGGUUUGCAACCGCACAUGGUAACUCUAUGUAUGGACGGCCAAUGGUUUAUGUGCGGUUUGUUGAUGCUGGUGUGCUCCAGUUAACUACCACUGGAGGCGCUCACACCCAAUCAGUGGCGCCGAUGGGGGGCAAUCAUGUGCGUGAAGAAGGUGCGGUUGUUCCAACCGUGAAUCUUGGACCAUAUCCGUCGGUAGUCGUUGACCACAACGAAUCUGUGGAGGUACUGUCAGACGAGCUAGACUAUGGUGAUUAUGCCAAUGGAUCAUCAGAUGAUAGCAACGACGACGACGAAGGAGGUGAUCCUUCUCAGCAUCUUGUCAUUCAGCAGAGGCCCAUGGUGCCCUCAAUGGAGAGAUGGACGGAUAGUGACAUAGCCUGUCAUGGUGCCAUGAUUAGAGACAUGCGGGGGCUCAUUGAGGUUGUGUUGGAAGGCUUUCGGACGGUACCCCCUCCUUCAUAUAGCGACAAGGCAAUAUUAAUACGAAUUUAUGAACUUGCCAAGGAGUUUAUCGAGCACUGCAGUUGCGCUCGAAUUAAUGGCAUUGGCGCGUACAAGCCUCAGCACUUCAAUGGAUCAUGA